AGCUCCAAUAGCGUAUAUUAAAGUUGUUGCAGUUAAAAAGCUCGUAGUUGAAUUUCUGGCCAGCGCUGUUCUUGGCUCUCUGAGUCGGCUCAGUGUUUGGUCAUCCGUAUGGGAAGCUAGUUCGGCCUUCACUGGUCGGCUAGUGGAUCAUACACUUUACUUUGAAAAAAUUAGAGUGUUUCAGGCAGGCAAUUGCUUGGAUACUUCAGCAUGGAAUAAUGGAAUAGGACUUUGACCUAUUUGUUGGUUUCUUGAGGUCAAGGUAAUGAUUAAUAGGGACAGUUGGGGGCAUUCAUAUUUAAUUGUCAGAGGUGAAAUUCUUGGAUUUAUUAAAGAUGAACUUAUGCGAAAGCAUUUGCCAAGGAUGUUUUCA
rnacentral:rRNA from 1 species